rnacentral:rRNA from 1 species
ACCGGCGGCGCGAGUGGUGGCCACUAUUACUGGGCUUAAAGCGUUCGUAGGCCCCCCCCCCCCUCCCCCCCGAACUCUCCCGGCCCAACCCCCCGGCGUCCCAGGGAUACUGGCAGGCUAGGGCCCGGAAGAGGUGAGAGGUGCCCCAGGGGUAGGAGUGAAAUCCGGUGAUCCUUGGGGGACCACCGGUGGCGAAGGCGUCUCACCAGGACGGCUCCGACAGUGAGGAACGAAAGCUGGGGGAGCAAACCG